GUCGAGAGGCUUCGGCAAUGGGGGCAACCCUGACCGAGCGACGCCGCGUGCGGGAUGAAGGCCUUCGGGUUGUAAACCGCUGUCAGGAGGGAAGAAUCCCCCCGGGAUAACACCCCGGGGGUUGACGGUACCUCCAAAGGAAGCUCCGGCUAACUCCGUGCCAGCAGCCGCGGUAAUACGGAGGGAGCGAACGUUGUUCGGAUUCACUGGGCGUAAAGGGCGUGUAGGCGGUCUGGCAAGUCGGGGGUGAAAUGCCGCGGCUCAACCGUGGAAUUGCCUUCGAAACUGCCGGACUUGAGGCCGUGAGAGGAGACUGGAAUUCCCAGUGUAGCGGUGAAAUGCAUAGAUAUUGGGAAGAACACCAGUGGCGAAGGCGAGUCUCUGGCACGGAUCUGACGCUGAGGCGCGAAAGCUAGGGGAGCAAACGGGAUUAGAAACCCCAGUAGUCC
rnacentral:rRNA from 1 species